UACGUAGGUGACAAGCGUUGUCCGGAUUUACUGGGCGUAAAGAGCGCGCAGGCGGUCGUUCAAGUCGAGUGUGAAAGCCCCCCGGCUCAACUGGGGAGGGUCACUCGAUACUGAUCGACUCGAAGGCAGGAGAGGGAAGUGGAAUUCCCGGUGUAGUGGUGAAAUGCGUAGAUAUCGGGAGGAACACCAGUGGCGAAGGCGGCGCUCUGGGCUGGAACUGACGCUGAGGAGCGAAAGCGUGGGGAGCGAACAGG
rnacentral:rRNA from 1 species